GACAUCAUAGCCAAGCGGUUAGUAGUUAUCUGUUUCCCUUUGGGAGCGCAGGUUCAAAUCCUGCUGGUGUCG